ACUAUGUGCUGCACCAACCGGCCCUGAUUCGAGAGAAUCCAAUCCAACCAAAGCAACACAACACAACACAACGCUUCCUCCUCCUCUCCCCUCGAAUCGAUCCCCUCCAAACCCGCCGCCGCCGCCGUGGACCUCCUAUCCCCAUCCCCACCGGCGUUCUCGUCUCCUCUAGCCUCACCGUCGACCUCCCGCCCCGCCCUGCAUCCCGUCGCUGGCGCCCCCACCCUCUCCCCUCUCCGUCUCUUCCUAGGAGGGAGCGAGGCCUCAGAUCCACAGGCCGCGGCAACCACCGCCACCGCGUCCUACUCCUUCCACCCCACCUAGCCGCCCUCCGCCUCCACAGCUCUCCGUCCCUCCCUCCCUCCUCGCGCCCGCAGCCAUGUCGACCGAGCUCAGGACCCCUCUCCUCCAAGACCAAAACGCAGGCAGCAGGCCAGGGCGACUUUAGCGCCUCCCUUCUCCUGGACGGCAGUUCAGUCGUGUUGGUCGUGCGCCCCCACAACCAGAGAGGAGGGGAGAGGAGGCGGAGAUGCUGCUGCUGCAUGGGCUGACUGGGAAGAACAAGCAGGCGUGGAAGGAGGGCAAGAUCCGCGGCACGGCGGUGCUGGUCAAGAGCGGCGUGCUCGACCUCGGCGACUUCAACUCAUCCGUCCUCAACGGCGUCCACAAGAUCCUCGACGGCUAAGGACGAUGGCGUCUCCUUCCAUCUCGUCAGCGCCACCGCACCCAACCCCCGGAGAUGCAAUCAACGAUGGCAGGGGAGUCAGUUUUUCCGGGUCACGUUUGAGUGGUCGAACGACUCACAGGGCAUCACCAGCACCAUUCCGAGUUCUUCCUCAAGACGCCCACCAUCGACGACGUUCUCGCAACAAGAGUUCUCGCGGAUUGAAGGUUGUCAACAAAGAAAGGAAGAAAGAAAGAAAGAUCCAUUUCUCCAUGGAAGGAGGAAGGGACAUCUUGAUCGCAAGUGACUGACUGGAAGCAACCGAGGGAGCCGGCAACCUCUCCGACAUGCUGCUCAUGACCACCUCCCCAACCAGAUGCUGUUGGCAGUAGAGGAAGUAUGGAUGUUAAUUUUGUUUCACUCAAUAAAAUCCUUGUGUGUGCUAAUUAUGCCUUGGCAGUAGGCAGUAGACUUAGCCAUUUGUCGAGAUGAGGACCCUACGGCACAGCGAGCCGCACUGGACGGUGGCGCAAUGCAUGAGGUACAGAACUUAAACUCCUUCAUCGUCACAUCAAUCACAAUGUUUAUGUCACUAAAUAGUUAAUUUCUUAGGAAUAGAGCAUGUCUCCUUGGGCUAAACUGUAACAAAGUUCAGAAUAUUAAAGUUUAGAUUAUUAACCUUAAAACUUUCAUUUAUCAAAGAUCUGCACACUUUGUUUUGGAUCCACACACCUAGGCUCGUCUAAUGUGAUCGGAUCUGGCCAGAUUCCUUUUGAUGCAUCACCUGUUACUCUUUUCGGUGAAUUAUGUUAGUAGUAAUCUUGAUUAGCUAGUUGCAUGUGUGUUGUUAACAGGAUUAGCGUGGCCGUAGCUUAGGUCAAGCAUGUACCUUAUGUUUUGUCUCAUGUAAAAGCUUAGGACUGUGUUUACUGAGUUCUUCUGGCAGGGAACUAUGCAUCCUGAAUGGCAUAGACUCGUGGCUUCAUGAAAUGACCCAUGUCUAUAUUCAAGGUAUCUUAGAUCUUCGAUGUCGGAUGCAAAUAAUUGCUCAAUUUCACUUCUCUGCAAUGUUCAUUCUCACAUAUUUCUAUCAUUCUUUGCAGGGAUAAAGUAAAGAAAAAGAAGAAAAGAUUACUAGAAGAUUAGUUUUAGAAUUUUCUUUUAUUUCCUUGUAAUUUUUCUUUUAUUGGAUACUUGUAAAGACUGUAAUAUUCUUACUAUAAUAAAAAUUAUGAUUCUAUUUCA